GCCUACGGCCAUACCACCCUGAAAGCGCCCGAUCUCGUCUGAUCUCGGAAGCUAAGCAUGGACGGGCUUGGUUAGUACCUGGAUGGGAGACCGCCUGGGAAUACAUGGUGCUUUAGGCU
rnacentral:rRNA from 1 species